GGGAGCAGUUUCUCCCCUCUCCCCAGGAGACAUUUACCAAUGUCUGGAGACAGUCUGGUUGUCCUAACCGGGUGGGGGAGGGUGCUCCUGGAAUCUACUGAGUAGGGGCCCCAGAUGCUGCUAAACGCCCAGGAAUGCACAGGACAGCCGCCCACAACAAAGAAUUAUGCAGCCGAAAAUAUCAACAGUGCCAAGGUUGAAAAAGUCUGCUCCACUCGAAUCUAUUGCCUAGACGCAGAGUGCACCAUCUGGAAAUGUUCCCAACCUUUCCCAGCACUGGCCCUGCAGCUCCCUGCCUCCGGCUCAAUAGACCUGGCACUCCCGGAAGCAGCUUCCUUUCUUGGCACCAAAUGCUCUGAGUGAGGGGUGGAGCUGAGCCUCCUUCUUCAUCCCAUGGCCGUUGUCUUGGUUACCGCCCCAUCAUCUCCUGCCUAGAUUAUCUUCAAAAGCCUCCCAACUCCAGUCUUAUGCUUCCUCCAACCCAAACUCUACACACACACAGUCAUCUUUAUAAAAUGAAAGUCUGGCAGGGCGCGGUGGCUCACGCCUGUAAUCCCAG
rnacentral:lncRNA from 10 species